CAUAUAUAUAUAUAUAGAGUUAAGCUGGAAUGCUAUAUAUCAGUAGCAAAUAGGCUCUGUUGCCACCCAUUUGUUUUCGAUGAUGGAGCUUUCAAAUCGACGAUCGGCACGGCACCGUUGAACAUGAUCUAUAUCACUUGAAGUAUUUAGAAAUUAAAUUUCAAAUCUUUUCGAUAUUAUUUAACUAAUGAUCAAAGGGUUUCAAAAUUAGUAAUUUUAAUGGUUGAUAUGAGGGAUUUUCUCGUUUAACGGUGUAAAGCUAUUCAAAUCAAUUGAAUUUUGGUUAGAAAAUUCUUUAAA
rnacentral:lncRNA from 1 species